rnacentral:rRNA from 1 species
GACGAACGCUGGCGGCUUGCUUAACACAUGCAAGUCGAACGGAAAGGCCCUGCUUUUGUGGGGUGCUCGAGUGGCGAACGGGUGAGUAACACGUGAGUAACCUGCCCUUGACUUUGGGAUAACUUCAGGAAACUGGGGCUAAUACCGGAUAGGAGCUCCUGCUGCAUGGUGGGGGUUGGAAAGUUUCGGCGGUUGGGGAUGGACUCGCGGCUUAUCAGCUUGUUGGUGGGGUAGUGGCUUACCAAGGCUUUGACGGGUAGCCGGCCUGAGAGGGUGACCGGCCACAUUGGGACUGAGAUACGGCCCAGACUCCUACGGGAGGCAGCAGUGGGGAAUAUUGCACAAUGGGCGGAAGCCUGAUGCAGCAACGCCGCGUGCGGGAUGACGGCCUUCGGGUUGUAAACCGCUUUCGCCUGUGACGAAGCGUGAGUGACGGUAAUGGGUAAAGAAGCACCGGCUAACUACGUGCCAGCAGCCGCGGUGAUACGUAGGGUGCGAGCGUUGUCCGGAUUUAUUGGGCGUAAAGGGCUCGUAGGUGGUUGAUCGCGUCGGAAGUGUAAUCUUGGGGCUUAACCCUGAGCGUGCUUUCGAUACGGGUUGACUUGAGGAAGGUAGGGGAGAAUGGAAUUCCUGGUGGAGCGGUGGAAUGCGCAGAUAUCAGGAGGAACACCAGUGGCGAAGGCGGUUCUCUGGGCCUUUCCUGACGCUGAGGAGCGAAAGCGUGGGGAGCGAACAGGCUUAGAUACCCUGGUAGUCCACGCUGUAAACGGUGGGUACUAGGUGUGGGGUCCAUUCCACGGGUUCCGUGCCGUAGCUAACGCUUUAAGUACCCCGCCUGGGGAGUACGGCCGCAAGGCUAAAACUCAAAGGAAUUGACGGGGCCCCGCACAAGCGGCGGAGCAUGCGGAUUAAUUCGAUGCAACGCGUAGAACCUUACCUGGGUUUGACAUGGAUCGGGAGUGCUCAGAGAUGGGUGUGCCUCUUUUGGGGUCGGUUCACAGGUGGUGCAUGGCUGUCGUCAGCUCGUGUCGUGAGAUGUUGGGUUAAGUCCCGCAACGAGCGCAACCCUUGUUCACUGUUGCCAGCACGUUAUGGUGGGGACUCAGUGGAGGCCGCCGGGGUCAACUCGGAGGAAGGUGGGGAUGACGUCAAGUCAUCAUGCCCCUUAUGUCCAGGGCUUCACGCAUGCUACAAUGGCUGGUACAGAGAGUGGCGAGCCUGUGAGGGUGAGCGAAUCUCGGAAAGCCGGUCUCAGUUCGGAUUGGGGUCUGCAACUCGACCUCAUGAAGUCGGAGUCGCUAGUAAUCGCAGAUCAGCAACGCUGCGGUGAAUACGUUCCCGGG